AUGAAGAGAUGGAGUGGGUUUCUCUACCUCUUGAAUUGUGGCUGGCUCAUGACUCGAUUCAACCAACCAACCAACCUAACAGACAAAAAUGUGACAGAAGUGACAAUGUGUAAACUAAAGUAACAGACCACAGUCGCCGGUAUUUUCUUUCCUCUUCAAAACCACUUCUGCUCCAAAGACCAUGAACCUGAACUGAAGAAACGACUCUUUCCUGCUGGUGUGAGAUAAUUCAGUCUCCAUGAUGUCUUAAUCCUGGGCCUCCCUUAAUUGACUUCUAACUGUGCUGAACUGUGGCUGCUAGGAGUUGCAAUGUGGAUCGCAAUUUACAAGGCACUGGAAUCGUUUCUCGUCCUCAAAUUAGUCCUGAGCCAUACUCGAGAAAGAUUAAAAAAAAAAAAAAAAGGUUUACCUUUCCUGGCUGUCUUGCCAUCUCAAAACGGCCACAGAACUUACUCAGCUUUGAAGAGACUGGAUCCUCCAUUUGAGACCUGAAGACCCUCCAUCAUGCAAGACUGACUGCCUGCCUAUAACUUUGUGGAGAGGCUGGUAUUAACAUACCAGGGCUCAUGGGUGAGCAUUCAGAUUGUUCUAUGAGGACGGUACAGUAUUGAUUUCAAGUUUACGUAAGACACUUGCUUGGAAGCAAAUUACAGGUAGGUACUGGCCUAUACAUUUUCUUACCUUAACAGUUCAAACCUCAAACAGGAAGUAAAGUAUCCUCUUUUAUCUACUUACCCUUGACCUAUGGCCUUAGCCAUGUGUGGCAUAUGCAGAUGAUUUUGAGAAUAU